UGGGGAAUAUUGCACAAUGGGCGCAAGCCUGAUGCAGCCAUGCCGCGUGUAUGAAGAAGGCCUUCGGGUUGUAAAGUACUUUCAGCGGGGAGGAAGGCGAUAAGGUUAAUAACCUUGUCGAUUGACGUUACCCGCAGAGGAAGCACCGGCUAACUCCGUGCCAGCAGCCGCGGUAAUACGGAGGGUGCAAGCGUUAAUCGGAAUUACUGGGCGUAAAGCGCACGCAGGCGGUCUGUCAAGUCGGAUGUGAAAUCCCCGGGCUCAACCUGGGAACUGCAUUCGAAACUGGCAGGCUAGAGUCUUGUAGAGGGGGGUAGAAUUCCAGGUGUAGCGGUGAAAUGCGUAGAGAUCUGGAGGAAUACCGGUGGCGAAGGCGGCCCCCUGGACAAAGACUGACGCUCAGGUGCGAAAGCGUGGGGAGCAAACA
rnacentral:rRNA from 1 species